rnacentral:lncRNA from 1 species
GGCCGACAGACACGAUGCCCCAGCGCAGCGCCAUGGUUGCGAUGCGGAGCCCUCGGCACCUUCGGUCCCUCCAGGCGCGAAUUAAGUACCUGACGCCCCGCCCACCCCGGGGGCGGGUCCCCAUCCUCCGCCCGUAUUGCGCCUACGCCGAUUCUCGUUGGCUCCAGUCGGCAGAGCGGUCAUUUAGUUCUAGCUUCCCCGCUGGGCGAAUGCACCGUUUAGCUCCGCCUUACAGAGGGAACCACACCUUGACGUCGCUUCUACAGAUCUCUUACCUAUGACUUUAGGCUCGUCGGAUACGCGGGGGACCCUGAGUGAAGGCUGCAGACUCAUCAGGGGCAGAUGGAAAAAUACCAGGAUUGAGCCUCUCAGAAGUGAUGCUUGAAUCCAGUCUUCAAAGAUGAGGACUCCGGCAGGUGACGUGGCAAUAGCGUUUUGGAGGGACCAGUCCAGAUACACAGGCAUGGAGCCAUGCAUUUGUUCCAGAAAGUGUAUUUGGAUGGAACCGGAACAUGGAACAGGACACACAGCAGGAUGCGGAGCAGUGUCAGAUGAGGCCAGAAAGGUGGGUGGGACUGGUCUUCAGGGGCUCCAGAUGAGGCUGGCGAUGAGAUGGCUGGAAGCCAGGGGUUCAGGGAGGCCCAGGCUCCUGGUAUCAGGGUUCACCGGCUAUACUGAGGAUCCCCUGCCCCUGGCACCCAGCUGUGGAGGGGACACUGUCUUUGAGGCAUCACUGGUUC